UGACCAGACUCCUACGGGAGGCAGCAGUGGGGAAUAUUGCACAAUGGGGGAAACCCUGAUGCAGCGACGCCGCGUGAGUGAAGAAGUCAUUCGUUAUGUAAAGCUCUAUCAGCAGGGAAGAAAAUGACGGUACCUGAGUAAGAAGCCCCGGCUAACUACGUGCCAGCAGCCGCGGUAAUACGUAGGGGGCAAGCGUUAUCCGGAUUUACUGGGUGUAAAGGGAGCGUAGACGGCAGUGCAAGUCUGGAGUGAAAGGCGGGGGCUCAACCCCCGGACUGCUCUGGAAACUGUACGGCUGGAGUGCAGGAGGGGCAGGCGGAAUUCCUGGUGUAGCGGUGAAAUGCGUAGAUAUCAGGAGGAACAUCGGUGGCGAAGGCGGCCUGCUGGACUGCGACUGACGUUGAGGCCCGAAAGCGUGGGGAGCAAACAGGAUUAGAUACCCUUGUA
rnacentral:rRNA from 1 species